AUAAACGCUGGCGGUGUGUCUAAUACAUGCAAGUCGAACGGUUCGCAAGAACAGUGGCAAACGGGUGAGUAACACGUUGGUACGUGCCCCAAAGUGAGGGAUACCCCGUAGAAAUACGGGUUAAUACCGCAUAUGAUCGCAAGAUUAAAGCAGCAAUGCGCUUUGGGAACGGCCUGCGUCCUAUCAGCUAGUUGGUGAGGUAAUAGCUCACCAAGGCUAUGACGGGUAACUGGUCUGAGAGGAUGAUCAGUCACAGGGAAACUGAGACACGGUUCCCACUCCUACGGGAGGCAGCAGUAAGGAAUCUUUCGCAAUGGGGGAAACCCUGACGAAGCGACACCGCGUGAACGAUGAAGGUCGGAAGAUCGUAAAGUUCUUUUCUGGGGGAAAAAUUCUGAUGGUACCCCAGGAAUCAGCACCGGCUAACUCCGU
rnacentral:rRNA from 1 species